AGAGUUUGAUUCUGGCUCAGGAUGAACGCUGGCGGCGUGCUUAACACAUGCAAGUCGAACGAAGCACUCUUUUAGAUUUCCUUCGGGGAAGAAGAAAUUGUGACUGAGUGGCGGACGGGUGAGUAACGCGUGGGCAACCUGCCCCAUACAGGGGGAUAACAGCCGGAAACGGCUGCUAAAACCGCAUAAGCGCACAAGGGCCGCAUGGCCUGGUGUGAAAAACUCCGGUGGUAUGGGAUGGGCCCGCGUCUGAUUAGCUAGUUGGCGGGGGAGAGGCCCACCAAGGCGACGAUCAGUAGCCGACCUGAGAGGGUGGCCGGCCACAUUGGGACUGAGACACGGCCCAAACUCCUACGGGAGGCAGCAGUGGGGAAUAUUGCACAACGGGGGAAACCCUGAUGCAGCGACGCCGCGUGAGCGAAGAAGUAUUUCGGUAUGUAAAGCUCUAUCAGCAGGGAAGAAAAAUGACGGUACCUGAGUAAGAAGCACCGGCUAAAUACGUGCCAGCAGCCGCGGUAAUACGUAUGGUGCAAGCGUUAUCCGGAUUUACUGGGUGUAAAGGGAGCGCAGGCGGUGCGGCAAGUCUGAUGUGAAAGCCCGGGGCUCAACCCCGGGACUGCAUUUGGAACUGUGUAGCUGGAGUGUCGGAGAGGCAGGCGGAAUUCCUAGUGUAGCGGUGAAAUGCGUAGAUAUUAGGAGGAACACCAGUGGCGAAGGCGGCCUGCUGGACGAUGACUGACGUUGAGGCUCGAAAGCGUGGGUAGCAAACAGGAUUAGAUACCCUGGUAGUCCACGCCGUAAACG
rnacentral:rRNA from 1 species